UUACAGGUAAACUACGUGAAGCGUUCCUCUUUUGACUUCGUAACUCAUUUGAAAUUUUCCUCAUUAGCUUUGCAAAUUUGAAAAACUCUUUGCAAAUCCCUUGAGGGAAUUUGCAAUGUUCCUAUCGGCUGUUGCAAUAUUCCAAACUUCAUUUUAAAUUUUCCUAACUUCCUGUUUUAAUUUCCUAACUUCCUGUUCUGUUCUGAGCGUUGUUAUUGGUCGAUUAUUUUUGUUGGCCAAUUGCAACGCCCAGAACAGAACAGGAAGUUAGGAACUUGUAACAGGAAGUUAAGAACUUCUAACAGGAACUGAGGAAAUUUUUUUUGCUUUUAGCAACAUUGCAAAUUCCCUCAAGGGAUUUGCAAGGGAGUUUUGCAAAUUUGCUAAGGUAAUGACGAAAAUUGCAAUCAACUUAGGAACUCAAAAGAGGAACGCU